AAGGCUAGGCCAGCUUGGCGUUGGUUGUCCAAGUUUAAGGUGGUAGGCUGAAAUCUUAGGUAAAUCCGGGGUUUCAAGGCCGAGAGCUGAUGACGAGUCGUCUUUUAGAUGACGAAGUGGUUGAUGCCAUGCUUCCAAGAAAAGCUUCUAAGCUUCAGGUAACCAGGAACCGUACCCCAAACCGACACAGGUGGUCGGGUAGAGAAUACCAAGGCGCUUGAGA
rnacentral:rRNA from 1 species